rfam:Myotis lucifugus cont2.25209, whole genome shotgun sequence.
GGCAGUUCCCAGGUAAUGCACCCUGGAAUUGGGCUCCUUAUUCUCUGGUUCCAAGUGCAUCACCCAAGAACCACU